rnacentral:rRNA from 1 species
UACUAGAGUAGCACUCGCAUAUCAAUAAGCGGAGGAAAAGAAACUAACAAGGAUUCCCCUAGUAACGGCGAGUGAAGCGGGAAGAGCUCAAAUUUGAAAUCUUAAAGGGUUUCCCUUUACGAAAUGUAGUUUAAAGAAGUGUUUUCUGUUGAGGUUUUGGUAAAAGUUCUUUGGAAUAGGACAUCAUAGAGGGUGAGAAUCCCGUAUUUGACCUUUACUUUCAACUUUGUGAUACACUUUCAAAGAGUCGGAUUGUUUGGGAAUGCAGUCCUAAAUGGGUGGUAAAUUUCAUCUAAAGCUAAAUAUUGGCGAGAGACCGAUAGCGAACAAGUACCGUGAGGGAAAGAUGAAAAGAACUUUGAAAAGAGAGUUAAACAGUACGUGAAAUUGUCAAAAGGGAAGCGUUUGACACCAGUGUUGUUUUUCUGAAAAUCAAUUAAAGAACUGUUUAUGCUAAGCUGUUUAGACUUUAUCAGCUAUCUGUUUAGUUUUGAGCUUUUCUUUAAUGCACUUUUCAGUUAACAAGUCAACAUCAAUUUCUUUUGCUGUAAAAAAGCUUGAGGAAGGUGGCUUGAGAUUCGUCUUAAGUGUUUAUAGCCUCUUGCCUAUGCAGUCGGAGAGAUUGAGGUCUGCAGCGUAGAUCCUUCGGGGCUAAAUGCAUUUGUGCUAAGUUAUAGCAUUUUAUAGACAACUUGUUGACUAUGAUUUGUCUUGUAGCUUACUCGCUUAUGUUAUUUUACCUACGCUUAGGAUGUUGAGCGCAUGUCUCUCUCU